AUAGAUUAAGUUAUUAAGGGUGCACGGUGGAUGCCUUGGCACUAGAAGCCGAUGAAGGACGUUACUAACGACGAUAUGCUUUGGGGAGCUGUAAGUAAGCUUUGAUCCAGAGAUUUCCGAAUGGGGAAACCCAGCAUGAGUUAUGUCAUGUUAUCGAUAUGUGAAUACAUAGCAUAUCAGAAGGCACACCCGGAGAACUGAAA
rnacentral:rRNA from 1 species